AAAAAAAGGACGUAAGUGAAAAACAUAAGGGAAUAUAGAUGUAGACCUUGGUCCAGCAAUUCAAUCUUGCUCCAGCAAGGCAUAUUACAAAAUGACGUUUCUCACAUUCCUAAGUCUAGUUAGUAAAUAUCAUCAGGAGGCACAGGAAAUUAAGUGUUGGAGCUAACUGGGAUAUAUAUUACAUAGUGGCCUUGUCCCUUCCGGACUUGGGCAAUCAUGGGCGUGUGCUCUGUUUUUCUGGCCGGUAGAUCCAGUAGUAAAUAAUCCUUGUUUGGUGCGUCCUCCAUGAAUCAAUCAAGGUGCUUUAAUCCUUAUGGCAGAAAGAAGUCCUCCCAGAGCAACCUAACUGGUACUGUAGCAAUUACUUGGUUCUUGCACAAAUGCGUCAGACAAUACAAACUGCACAAAAUUCUCUUCAAGAAUCAAGGAUAUAUCUACUAAAAAGCAAAUAAAUUAAGAGCCAAUACAAAAACUUCAAUGCUAGUACUUUACCCUGAUCAAUCCUUUCUUAUCACCAUGCUUUUUAUGCUUCCGCAGCCACAUGUAAUCUCCAUUGACAAUCAUCGCUCAUCGGCAUGAACUGGCACUUCUCUGUGCGCCAAUGCAUCCUCUGGUUGGUGCCAGCGCUCGCCGGCCAACCUGCAACUGUUACCAGAUAGAUCAAUCAGAAGAACAUAAGCAUCAUAGACGAUAGUCGUCAACCCAUCUAUUUGCAAGUCCUAGCAUUUUGUACAACACCUAAAGAUAAAGGUACUAAAAUCAUUUAUUAGAUACACAAUAUUUAGAUAUAUAAACUAAAUUAUUAUACCAGUCUCUUGAACCAAUAGAAAGGAAACAUGCAAAUUUCGGUUUACUUAAGAAGAAUGUAAAUUUUGUCAUACUAAAUGCUAAGAAAAAUGAUCCAAAUUCAGAGGUACAUCAAAUCACAAUUAUAGUAAUGAAAGAAAACACACAAAAGGCAUUUUUAUCUCUUCCCAAAAUAGGAUAAAAAAAUUAAUGAACAAUUAGACUUUUUAAUGGUUCAUAGAUGAAUACACUGUACCAUAAAGAGUCUUAUAUUGUAUAUUGUGUUACCUAACUUAUUUAGAUAGGCAAAUAAUCCUAACAAAAAAUAUUAGUACAGAAAAAUGUAACAUAAAACAUGAAAUGUAAGAACCAAAUAGAGGAACAAACAUUUUGUGGCCACUGGAUUGUAAAAAGAAUGGACACUAAAGUUACUAUAAAUUUUUAACUUUUCUAUAAGGUGAGGUAGUAAUAAGCCAAAAAAAUAUGACAUCUCAUUUCUUUUGGCGCAUUCACCUCAAUUAUUUUCUUAUGCUUGUUUUUUGCAUAAAAUAUAAGGCAUGUGUGUAGACAGAUGAAUGAACUAUUGGACUCUAUGUGCAUCCUUUUUGUGAGCUUAUACAACUAAAAAUCAGGAAGAGAUUGCAAACUUGGAAAUCAUAGAAACUUACAUUUAGUUUUGUAUUUAGUUAUUAAUCGAUAUGAUUUUCCAUUUAUCCCACUACCAAGACCCGAGCUUGAAUUACUCAUUACUCAGUGCCCUGCAUAUUUUGUGAAAGGCUCUUAGUUGAGAUAUUCCAUGUCCAAAAAAUACAAUUUAUUUAAUGCGUUCUUAAUUCUGAAUCAGGUACAAAAAGAAUCAGACAAAUAUUAGUUAUGUCUUAUAAGUUUGAUACAUGUGCCGCCUAAUAAAUUUUCCCAAAAAGGAAAGCUGGGAGGUCCUAUGCAGCACCAUCAUGUGUUUCUUCUUUCUAGUUUAGAGACAACCUAAGAUUUCACUACUGAUAAGGAGAAUCUCCUUACUAAGGAAAUUACCAGGUCAUACCAUGGGCAUAAGAAUUGUUCUUCGGACUUUCAUCACCAUAUUAAAAAAAGUAUUGAAGGAGAGGUCUGUAAAAAAAUCAUCCAUUAAUGAGUGCGAGCACUACUAAGACAACUAUAGCACACAAUAACCAACAAUCUAUAUAGAAUCCGGUCACUUUGAAAAGUUAAAAUGAUUUAUACAAUAUACUAGAGAAUUGUGCCAGCUAGACCACUGAUCAUGAAGUAAAAUAUUUAGAGAAAUAUCUUUACAAAAGACAACUAUUAUUGGUACAAAAUUUGGAAGGGUAGUCACUGAAAAGAAAUUCCUUUCUAACUGAAUACAACACUGAUCAAAUUAUACCAUUGAUAGUAACUUGUGUAAGAUAAUAUUACGUACGACAAAAUCACUGGAUAGAGGACUCCCUCGGUAUUAAUGUAUUAAUCGUCGCUCAAGAACACAUAAUAGAAGUACUGUAACGAAUGGCCCAAAUGAAAUUUUAUAUAUGUCAGCAAAUACAAACUACAAAAGGGCAUGUUAUUUAAUACACCACAGAAUAAUUUGAGCAAAUUCGAUCAUAGCAGGUCUAAACAUGCAAGAUUAGCAUCACAAAUCAUAGCUUCUAUAACAUCAGAGUCCAUAGCAUCAGAGGUCGUACCUUUCGCAGUGUGUGAGUUUCUCAUUCCAGCACACAUACAUUGUCAUGUACCAGCUGUUUGUAGAGCUCAUCCCAGUGAGAAUUUGUAUCUUCUUUAGUUAUUAUGUCUCUUAACAGUUAGGAUAGCAUUAUAACUAAGUUGAUGAGUUGUUAGGUUUUUGGUUGGUGAUGUCUCUUGUUAGAUUUAACCUAGAAUAAAAAAAUUAUAAUCUAGAAGUUACUCAUCUGUUGGCUUUACUCAACAACUUUUUAAUUAGAAGGAGCUCCUAACAUAGAGCAUCUACAAACAUAAAUUCUAUUCCAUGGCAUAUGGAUUUGCUAUUAACGUAUUGAUUUGUAUCUAUAUGUUUACACCAAAUCAAAAUCAAAUGGAAGCAUCGUACAUCAUUAUUCCAAGGAAAUAAGCUAAGAGCAUGCAUCUUCAUUCUUCAAUAGAGUUCUGCUCGGUGUUCAGUGCAUAUAAUAAUGUAGUGCUACAAUUGGUAUUCCUCCAGACUAUGCUUUUUCAUACAGCAAAUUGGCACCUCAUCUCCAUAGGAGCUGUGAAAUCUUUACUUUGGUCUCUCUUUCCCCUGUUUGCAAAUCAAUUUAUGUUUCACCCCAUCUUCAUAGUAGAAGUAAAGGGACACGAUUAGCUGAUGAUAUUCAAAUUCACAUAAACUCUGUUUGCACCUACAGAUGACAACGACUACUCUGUAUGCACCUAUAGAUAACAUCGACUACUCUGUAUGCACAUGAUAUUAACUUUCCUAU
rnacentral:lncRNA from 1 species